AUUGAACGCUGGCGGCAGGCCUAACACAUGCAAGUCGAGCGGAUGAAGGGAGCUUGCUCCUGGAUUCAGCGGCGGACGGGUGAGUAAUGCCUAGGAAUCUGCCUGGUAGUGGGGGAUAACGUCCGGACACGGGCGCUAAUACCGCAUACGUCCUGAGGGAGAAAGUGGGGGAUCUUCGGACCUCACGCUAUCAGAUGAGCCUAGGUCGGAUUAGCUAGUUGGUGGGGUAAAGGCCUACCAAGGCGACGAUCCGUAACUGGUCUGAGAGGAGGAUCAGUCACACUAGAACGGAGACACGGUCCAGACUCCUACGGGAGGCAGCAGUGGGGAAUAUUGGACAAUGGGCGAAAGCCUGAUCCAGCCAUGCCGCGGGUGUGAAGAAGGUCUUCGGAUUGUAAAGCACUUUAAGUUGGGAGGAAGGGCAGUAAGUUAAUACCUGGCUGUGUUGACGUUACCAACAGAAUAAGCACCGGCUAACUACGUG
rnacentral:rRNA from 1 species